CCCGGUGGUAUUCUUAACGGCCGCAGUUGAUAGCUGUGCUAAGGUAGCGUAAUAAGUUGUCCUUUAAUUGAGGAAAGGUAUGAAUGGUUUGACGUAAAGAGUCCUGUCUCUUUUGGAUUAGUAGAAAUUUUCUUCUCAGUGAAAAGGCUGAGGGGCGGUUAAAAGACGAGAAGACCCUGUUGAGCUUGCCUUACCGGCCCACUGGUGGGUUGGGAAAGUUUAGUUGGGGCAACUAGGGAGCAAGGGUAGCCUCCCCUGGUGGUAUGGUGAUCCAGAAUUUUUGAAAAAAGAAAAAGCUACCACAGGGAUAACAGCGUUAUCUUUUCUGAGAGAACAAAUUGAAGAAAAG
rnacentral:rRNA from 1 species